ACCACUAUUGGAAGAACCACUAUUGGACGAAUUGCUAUCAGACUCAUCUUCUUCAUCUGAAUUAACAUUUUUGUUUUGUUUAUUUUUUUUACUUUUUUUUAUGUUUAUUUUUAUCUUUUUUGAAAAUAUAAUACUGUUCAGGUGAUAUAUGAGUAUGUGAAGAAAUUAUUGAAAUGGUAGCUCUAAGGUAAUGUUUUUCUUUUAUGGCAAUAUUAGGAUAUGAUGUUACUAGUUGAUUUAAUUUUCCUAUAAACAUUUUAUUAAUACUAUUAGCUAUGUUAAUAUAAUGAGGUGUUGUGUUUUUUAACCUUUGCCAUGUUCCAAUUCCGUUGAUUGAUAUCCAAUAUAUAUACUUGUUUACUCUUUUGUUAAAAUAAUAAUAAUCUUCUUUUUUAUAUUUCAAUUUAUCAUAAAUAUUAUUUUCAAUGUAUGGUUUAGGCAUUUUUUUUUUUUUACUUUUUUUUUUUUUUUUGUUUUUUUUUUUUUUUUCUUUUUUUUUAAAAAAACUGAAUCAUUCUGAUUUUUUAAUUCUGCUUCUAAAAUAUAAUAAUCAUUCUCUAUCCCUUUUAUUAUACCCCAAAAAGAUAAAGAAAGUAAAUGUUUUUUAUAUUUGUUUGAUAUACUUUUUAUAGAGUUGUUAAUGUAAAAUAUUAAAUCAUUUUCAAUUUGAUAACCAGCCCAAUUAAUUAACCUGACUUGUUCAUAAAAAUUUUGUAUAAAAGGUAAAUUUAACGGUUUUUCUACAUUAUCAAUAGUAGCUAUAGCAUUGUUAUUGUUAUAAUUUUUGGCUAUUAAAUAUUUUAUUUUCUGAAGCCAUUGUUUUUUUUUUUUAUAUAUUCACGUAUAAUAUAAUUAUCCAAAUUAUAAUUUUUCCAAUCCAUUUCAUUAAAUAAUAUGUUACUAACACUAGAUUUUUUAUUAAUUUUAUUAUUUUCUUUUACAUGAUUUGAUAUCAAUUCAAAUUUAUCAUAACAGUUGUCUGGCUUUUCUACAAUAAUAAAAUUGAUCAAUUCACAUAUAUGAUCA
rnacentral:lncRNA from 1 species